CACGUAGGCGGACUACUAAGUCAGGGGUGAAAUCCCGGGGCUCAACCCCGGAACUGCCUUUGAUACUGGUAGUCUCGAGUCCGGAAGAGGUGAGUGGAAUUCCGAGUGUAGAGGUGAAAUUCGUAGAUAUUCGGAGGAACACCAGUGGCGAAGGCGGCUCACUGGUCCGGUACUGACGCUGAGGUGCGAAAGCGUGGGGAGCAAACA
rnacentral:rRNA from 1 species